UUCAGGAUAGCCGCGUGGUCUAAGGCGCCAGACUCAAGUUCUGGUCUCCAAGUGGAGGCGUGGGUUCAAAUCCCACUCCUGACAA
rnacentral:tRNA from 1 species